CCCCUUGAACAAAAAAUACUUCUGAUUGUGUCUGGUAGUAUUGGUCGAUCUAGACCAUUGAAUGGCCGGAAAUGAACGGCUCACAUUAUUUAGAAGUACUGUAAAAGAUCUCAUUCUUUACUGUAUUCCAAUUGAGGUGCAGUUCGUGGCACCUACUCGCCCUGUCCGCUCGCCAGUCGCGGUGAGAUUGCCUGCUCGCCACUGGUGCCGACCGCUCGAGGUCGCCACCGCCCGCUCACCACUGGCAGUCUCCGCUCGCCACCGCCCGUUCGCUGGUCGCCGGUCGCUCCUCCCGCUCACUGCCCAAUGUUGUUGGUUAGAAUGCAGGCCUGCAGGUAAUCCAUGGACAGGUUGUAGUUCUGCUUGGGAUCAGUCUUUGGUAGGAGUCAAUCCAUCUAGCACACAAAAAAUAUCCACUCUCAGAUAGAAAAGUUAUAUAUCGAAGAUUCAAUAAUUGGAACACUGCAAUUUUAUUUAUAUGGACAUAUACGAAAAGACAAUUUAGGCAUGGAAGAGAAAAACAGCACCUCCAAUCAUUAACAUUGCAUUAUUCCGACGUAGAUUUGGCACUGACUCCUCUAGAUGAACAGCGAUUCCAAUGUCCCUGUUACAGAAAUAGCAAGUCCAAUGUCAACGGCAAUAUACAAUAGUAAUAAGCAUCAGAAAUCUCGAGGUCCAUGGCAAUUAGAGUCCUUCUCAAGAACUUUUCCUGCUUCGAUAACCACAUAUGAGCUGACCAUAUAAGCGUGAACAGUGAAUGCAUUAUUGGUGUAUGUAGAGCAGUACAUAGCACGUUCUCUUGCAUCUCUCAAACUUAAAUGGUCACAUCUCGAUCUCUCAAAUAGAGCACUACAUUCCACACCAAUUAAUCAGUGAUUGCAUCACAACACGUGGAUUAUCUUGAUCAACUCUAACAGGAUCAAGUCAGCAUUGGAAUCAGCAGGAGGACCGUGGAUCAGCAAUCUGAGAAAGCAAAUAGUCGUGACAAAAAUAAUCAAGAUGCUGUAAUCACUUGACAAGUUUGCAAUAACACGUACCUGUGUGUUCACAAGACUAUUGGCUUAGCUUCUCGUUUCUUAACUUGUAGAAGCUCGAGCUCGUAGGGUUACGUGAAGUCUUCUCGCCCAGCAUUGCGAAGUUGACAACACUAUAAUGGCUGUAAGAUUAAGCAUUAGUUAGUUAUGAAAUCUAUGAUUUGUUCCUCAUGAAAAUGGUGUACAUAUAGAUAUCCAUUAAAAAUGGUCCUGCUAUCGUUAUUGUCACAUAUCUUCAUUUCAGGUUUUUAGAUGAUAACAAUAUAACCGAAGGAAUACCAUAGG
rnacentral:lncRNA from 1 species